AGCAAACAAGGACUGAAGAGGCUGCUGGGAGCUCACCAGUGUCCUGGCCAGUGAGGCAACAGGUGCACCUGGUGCUGUAGUGACCUCCCAGGGGACAUUUGCCCUGCCAUUGCUGUGUCUCCAAGGUUACAGGCUGCUUUUCCUUCCCACAGGGCAGUGCGGCAGUGCUCUGGCUCCAACACAAGGCCGUGGAGGACAGAGGGAGAAGAGAGGAGAGUUGGAUAGAACAGGCCAUAGAGAGAAUCCCUCUGCAGGGUUGCAUGGUGACCACAAUCUCACAGCACUCAGGGAUCUCCCAGAAAUGCCAUCCAUCAUGUUGGGAGGCACACCCAUAGUAAGGUGUUUUCGGACCCCUGGGCUCUCUGGGUAGCAACAGCUCUGCCUGCCAUCCUGGACCACACCACCUUCUUCAGUCUUCUUCCCCUUCCCACACACUGGGACUCAGCCAUGGAGGUGACUCAGCCUUGACUGAUCAUGGAGGAACCACAAGAUGGAAGAACUAUGGCUCCUUCUGUAAGGAGGGGAGGUCAAGGACAGCUACACAGAGAGGGAAGAUCGGCCACAGGAAGACAGCAGGGAAGAAUGGCUACCUGCCAGCCAAGGGAGGAGGCCUGGAGCAGAUCUUGACCUCAGAGCUCUCAGGAGGAUUCUAUCUACAUUCUGAUCUCUGACUCCUGGCCUUCAAGCCCGAAGGAAAAUGUAUUCUGUUAUAAGUGGCACAGCUUAUCGUACAGCAUAACAGCCCUAGAAAGCUAGUGGAGGAGCAUCAGGGCUCAGCAGACCCAGUGUCCCACUUUGUCAUAGAGUUGUCUUAAGAAUGAAAUGGUCUAAGAGAAAGAACAAACUUCAGAAAUAAGGCUGUGAUGAAGAGGAAAGAGACUGGUGCUUGUUUCCGAAGAACUCGCUGUAUAAGAGCCACCGGAAAAGGAAGGCUCCAAGACUCUAAAGACAGGCAGACGAGCCCGAGUCUGCACAGAAUGCAUGCAGCAGAGACUUACGGAUGGAAGUGUAUCUUGAGCAGCAGCAAAACAGCAGGGUCCCCAUAGCUCAAGAAGGAAGAAGGGACUUACAUGCUAAGCCGGACAGAGGUGGACUGUGACCAAUUGGAAUGUGCCACGCCUUUCCUGGGUCUGUAUGUAGCAUGAAAAUACUUGGCUCUGUCAAUGACUGUGUUUAUCCCACAGAGUUUGGAAUAUGUGCCAGCAUCACCUGAUGCCCCAAAUGGUAGUCAUGGCUGGCAAGAUGAGUUAGUGGGUGAAGGAACUUGCACCACACCUGACAGGCUGAGCUCAAUCUCCAGGACUCACAUGGUAGAAAGAAAGAAGCGACUCCCUAAAAUUGACCUCUCAACUCCACAUGGGUGCCAUGCCAUGCAUGUGCAUGCAUACACACUCAUCACCACAUAAAUAAAUUAGAAAUGUAAUUUUGAAAUGGCAACCAAAACCAAGAUGUGUAUGGUUGGCUCAAGCUAGGUGCAUACUGUGCUCACAGAGUGCUCUUUGAUGCCAUACUCAAAGUUCCUGCAUUUAAAAUGGCUUCUCUUCAGGUGUGCCCGAAUCCCUUUCCACAGCUUGUUCCUUCUCUCCACAGCAUUGAUCGUCUUCUAAUGGUCUCUGCUGUUGGUUAUUUGUCUCUUUCUACUAGGAGGGAAGAAGCUCAGUGAGGUCAAGGCUUGGGGUUUUUAAUAGCUGUCUCCUCAGCACUUACCGGCCCAGGAGGGUCCUCACUGGCUGGUCCGUGCUGAGUCCACAUUUCAUUUCUUCUUUCUUCAUUCUUCUCACUUCUUCAGGCCACACUUACCGAUCCUCUGGAACCUAGGCCUGCAUAUAAACAUACAGAGAGAUAGGGGUGUGGCAUGAUGUAUAACGUGUACUCUGAGGGCUAGUAGUUAAGAGUGGGAUCAAAGAACCUGUAUUUGCCAAUGGCCAGCUAUCAUUUGGUAAACUGCAGCCAAUGAGACCAAUGGAGGUGAAGUUUUU